GGUGUUUUCUCUUCGGUUGCUAGCUAAUCACCAGGUUCUCAUGCAUGGUUUGCGAUCAUCUCCAAUAUAGAUAAAUAUUUGGGCUUGAUAUGAUUCGAUGCCCAUAGCUCAUCUGAGAUGUUGUGCGAUUGAAUGAUUGAAUUACAUGAUAACUACUACUGAAAGAUAUUUUUGAUAUUUUCAUUAUUUUUAUAUUUUCUAGAUAGUCAUGAUAUGUUGCUAGACAUC
rnacentral:lncRNA from 1 species